rnacentral:rRNA from 1 species
UACGGGAGGCAGCAGUGGGGAAUAUUGGACAAUGGGCGAAAGCCUGAUCCAGCCAUGCCGCGUGUGUGAAGAAGGUCUUCGGAUUGUAAAGCACUUUAAGUUGGGAGGAAGGGCAGUUACCUAAUACGUGAUUGUUUUGACGUUACCGACAGAAUAAGCACCGGCUAACUCU